rnacentral:misc_RNA from 1 species
GAUGAAGAACGUAGCGAAAUGCGAUAAGUAAUGUGAAUUGCAGAAUUCAGUGAAUCAUCGAAUCUUUGAACGCACAUUGCGCCCCUUGGUAUUCCGAGGGGCAUGCCUGUUCGAGCGUCAUUAUCACCCCUCAAGCUUUGCUUGGUGUUGGGGCCUGCUGUAAUAGGCAGCCCUUAAAAUCAGUGGCGGUGCUUCAAGGCUCUAAGCGUAGUAAUUCUCCUCGCUAUAGUGUCUAGUGGUUGCCAGCCAGAACCCCCCAAUUUUCAUGAUUGACCUCGGAUCAGGUAGGGGUACCCGCUGAACUUAAGCAUAUCAAUAAGCGGAGGA